AACAAAAUGCAGCUAUUCACUUGUUGGGGCGUGUAGGAUAAAGGUUAGUGUGGUCAUCUUCGGUAGAACCUCCACAGUAAAGACCGAGGAUCCGGUCUCCUGAUGACAAUUGAUGAAUAAACCACUGCAGUCUCCUCUUCCUCCUGUAAUACAAAGUAAAAAUUACAUUACAACAACAAAACAACACACACAUGCUUGUUUAUUGCUGCAUGGUAGAUAGUAAUAGGUUAUGAAAUCAUCACAACCAUAUUUAUAUAACACUUACCCUGCCAUUCCUGCCCCAGCAACAAUGGUGAACAGGAAACGCUUUGAAGACAUAAAAACAGAAUCAGGGGGGGGCAUGCCUAGCAUUGUCCAACAUCUACUUCUUUUUCAAGGCAGCAUAACAAUAUACAAACAGGAAGUUCAAUAAGACAAAGAGCUGCAUGUCCUACCUGCCCACAAUCUUUGUCUGAAGUAGCAAAUUAAAAGUGUGAUUAAAAUAAGAAAUGUAAGGGCUGCUGAUGUUCCAUAAACAACUGGAAUCAGAUAUUCAAGCUCUGUAGGUAUAUCUGUAAAACCAAAAAACAUAAGAGGUGUAAUUCCUUUGCUUUUGGCUAUGACCUCGUUAAAGAGAGAUACAGCAAAACACCCACCUGUUGUUUUGUUUAAAGCAUUUGAUGGUCCAUGAGUGCUGUUAACUGAACUGCAUCCAUCAGACAUUUGCUUUGCACUGCAAUUUAUUCCAUUUGUAUCUACAAACACUGAUAUUGUCCUUGUGCCUGUCUCCACAUUGAGUGUGCUUUUUGGUUUGAUUUUACUGAAUUCCAUGUCACACAUCACAGUACAAGAAACAGAUGUGUCAUCACUGUGGUGUACUGUAAUAAAGCAAACAAAUAUUCAAAGUUAAGCAGUCAAUUUUGACAAAAGA